UGCCAGGGCACCAAAAAUGGCACCAACGCACUGGGCCAAUAUGUAGAUAAAAGUUUUUGAAAGGGAAAUAAGGCCAGUUAAGAAGGCAGCGAAGGUGAUAAUAGGAUUGAUGUGGCCACCAGAAAUGGGAAAGGUAGCUAGUAGGAGAAUUGUGAUAAUGAUGGCAACAAGGGUUGACAGUAUAAGGUUGGGCAUGUUUGUCCCUGUCUGAAUCGUGGAAAUCACUAUGGUGUCCAAAGCAAAAACAAGAACAGCUGUUCCCAAUAGCUCUGCUACUGAUGCUCUCCAUACCUGAGCAAACAAAAGAUUAUUUGCAUGGUAAGGCGUUGCCCUAAAAAUUCGACAUGCUACUUCUGUAGUUCUGAAGACAAUAAUAAUAUUUAGAUCUCCCGCACCAACUUAUAAUUAUACAAUUUCAAUCCGCAUGAGCCCAUAAAUCCAUGUAAUAAUUUAUCACUUGCAAGAUAUAUUUUGUUAAGAAGUACGCUAUAUAGUUACCGUCAAAGAGAGAAGGUCUUCUAAGCCCAAUAUUUCUCUCAAUGUAAUUUGCUUAGUCUUCCCUCCCUCGUUCUUAAGUGCCUCUGCCCUGCAGAAUUAUAUGAAAAACAAAACGCUUAUUAGCUCCAGUGACUAGCAAAAUCUCAGGACAUUACAAACUGGAAGUGAGAGAAAAAAGAAAAAAGAAAAAGAAAUAUGAAGUUAGGCACUUGCAUUGGCGUGGUGGCAAAAGGUUGGAUUCUAUUUCCACUCUAGAGGCUUUCUUCGUCCGGAAUAGGCCCUGCAUAUCCAGCCAUCGUUCUCUUCUGUUUGCAUGUCUCCUCUUUGAACUCUAUAAAUAUAUAUAGCUAGAAACCAGAUACUAAUCAGUCUUACAAUCUGGCAGAAUUAAUAAAUAAUUUUUCUAUCACUUGGGAUCGAUAUUGUUUUAAUGCGAAAACAUCUUACGUUUGAAACAAGAUUGAUAUUAAAAAAUAAAGAAAAAUGCUCCCAGUAUUUUCACAUCUAAGAUCCAUUAAUUAGGCUCCCAGAUAAAACGAAAAAAAAUAAUUUUCCUUGAGCCAUGGGCAACUCAAUAUUAUACCCUUUUUUUUACUUUGCUUUAUCACAUUGGUCCAACUGGAAUAUUUAAUUCCAGAUGAUGCAAUACACCAAUUAUAAAACAAAAUAGAGUAAAGGUGUCCAUAUUGCAAGCUGGUUUGCCAAAUAACUGAGGCAUUGACUUAUCCACCAAAUAAUUCAAAAGGCAAGAACAAACAGCCAUAAGCCCAUGCUUGCAUUAAAUGCACAUGCAUGUUAUCAAUAAGGAUCACAGCUUGAUCCUAUCCCUUGAGUCUUGGGAUCAUAAUCGUGUUUAAUAUAAUUCUACUCCUAUGCAAGUGCUACACUUUUCGUGCAUGAUUCUUCAUUGUUAUUAUUUUAACCUUCCUCCGUUAAUUUGGGAGGUCUUGUUGUGGGGAGUUGAGAUUGAGAUGCCCUUUGUAAUUUCAACACAGUCGAUCAUUCCUUGAAGCUCAAUGUCUCAAGAAUCCGAUUUGAAACAAUGCACUUGAUGUUUAUUGAGAUGUGUGUGUUUCUUAUCCUUCUCCUUGCGUAUAAUUAUGAUUCAAAUUUUAGAUAAAAAGUGAAAGUGAAAUUUUCAUGAAUUUUAUGUUUUUGAUAAAAAAAAUCAUAUUUAAUAAAACUAAAUAGAUAAAUUAAGUUUUGAUAUAUAAAAGUGAGUCCAUAAAUAUCAACUAGCUAUAAAAAGAAAAAAAAAAAGAUCGAAGAGCCUGAACUUGAUAUAUAAUUUCAUGGAUCAAGAUUGAAUAUCAUCUAGUAGAAAGAAAAGUACAAAGGUAAAGGAUGACAAACAUUUCUUCUUUUCCUUGUAGCUGGUGGCCAUGGUUUUCAGGACCAGGACGUCUGCCUCGACACUUUCUUCUAAUGUUUUAUUAAGAAAGCCAAUUCUCCAAAAGAACCCUAUCUGUAAAACAUCAAGUUCGUCAUCUCCCCUCAUCAUGACGUCCCUGUAGGCAAGGUCAGAGUGAAUCCAUAAUAAACAAUACAAGCAACAAAAGGUCCCACCCAGAAUACCCAAUGGCCAUACCAUAAUCGGCCUCCUUUCAGUAAUGAUGGCCCUAAACACCUUGCAGGGUUCAAGCCCGCACCAGCAUAUCCAGCUCUUCCCGUUACAGAAAUGGACACAAAAAAUGCAAGUGUCAUUGCCCCUGCCAGUAUACCACAUACCAUUUGUAAACCUAGCUCUUUGCAUCUUCUCUUGUCAAAUGCCACGGUUACACCAACAAAUAGCACAAUAAAUGUGCAUGAGAAUUCUAAUAUAAAUGCAUUUGUAGGGCUUAUCCCUUCACCAUUUCCAUCAAUCAUGCAGCCACCCAGGGAAUAUUUUUCUUCUGCAUUUUUGUCCAUUACACUCUUGAUUACUAGAUAAGCCACGAUUGAGCCUACACAUUGAGCCGACAUAUAAAACAAGGCACGGACAGGAGUUAUAACACCUUCAAGGGCGGCAAUAAAUGUGAACACAGGGCUCAUGUGACCCCCUGAUAAAGGGACCGUGGUCAACAGGAAGAAGAAGGCAAUGACGAUGAUUGCAAAUGGGAUUAGAAACUUGGGCUCGACAGUGGUUGAUUCUAGGCAUGAGAUUAUGGAAGUGGUUAAUGUGAAUAACAGGCAAGUUGUUAGGGUUGUUGCUACUAGCUCAGUUAGGGUUGCCCUCCACAUCUGGAAAAAUGAAGGCACACGAUAACAGUUGCAAAUUAAUAAUCCUAUUUUUGCUAGAAAAUUAUAAAGAAUAACUAGUAGUCACUGAUAUAACACUAGACAUUUGAUAAAUCAAGCAGACCUCUGAUGAAAAGAUUUUGUGGGCACCAACGGAAUUCAGUACUUUUAUCAUUAUGGAUUUUUUUUCUUUCAAGUCUGUUGCUUCGCAACCCUGGAGCGAUUUUGAAAAUGCUUGAUUACCAUCAUCUUGGUGGUGUUGGUGGAUGACCACGUCCAUUUGGAAUUCAAUUCCAGGGAAAAGUAUGAAAGCUCCCUACAUGUAUGAAGAACUAGGUUGCAAGGAAUAUAUGCAGUAUAAUUCAUUAAAAAAUAGGAUAAAACAAAAUAAAUUGACAAAAUCAAGAGGAGGAGGGCUAUUGUCUUUGCCAUUGGAGGUGGGUUAAGUGACUUGAUCUAUCAGCCAUGUUCCGAGUGAAAAGUCCAAGGACAUUCUACAUUAAAAUCCUCAGGCUUUUAAACAAACAAAAAAUGUUAUGGUUAAAUUAUGAGCUAAGGUGAUAGGAUAUCCAUUAUGAAAAACUAAGGAUUCUUUUGGAUAAUGAUUAGAUAUAUAUUGCAUACACUCAGAUCUCUAACGAGAGGCAAGGUUGCCCUGAUGCCUUCACUAGCUGUUGCCAUUGCUGAAAUAUAGUUUCAUCACAGGAUAUAAAAUUCAGGAUCAGCUGCAGGUUCUUUCAAUAGUGUGCAAAAAUCUACAUCCUCUUUGAUUUCGUUUGAACUAUAUACUAAUUUCUUGCUAGGUUUAGCCAAUUAAUAUUUUUUUCAAUUCAUACUGAAAUUAACUCGUUGUCCGAGUUGUAAACCUUUUUAGACUGUUUAGGUCAACUCGUGAUGCCAUAAGUUUUUUAAUAACUAUAUACAUCAAUGUGAAAAGAUUGAUAUUAUGGAAUAGGUUUUUUGUUGGAAUGAAUACCGCUAGAGAGGUCUGAAAAUACUAAAUAUCAUUACAUUUAUUAAGAACAACUAAUAUAUAGAUAUAGUGGUAUAACUCGAUCUUAAGAUCAAACAGGCUUGUACUUUUAAAGCGUGUUCUAAUUUUAACAUCAAACAGACGUGUUUGAGAUUUUUUUAUUUAUAUUCUUAGGUAAUUUUUAACUAGAAAAAAUAUCAAAUUAAUUUUAUUUUUUUAGUAUUUAUAAUAAUUUUGAUGUACUAAUAUUAAAAAUAAAAAAAUCUAAAAACUAUUAUUUAAUUUCAUAUAAGCAACGAGUUAUUAAUAAAAAUAUCAUAUGCACCCCAACCCCCCUAACUACAGAACAUUGUGCCCAUGAAAAGGCAAGAGACGUAUUAUUACAUUGACAGAGACGACAACAUGAUGCACCGUAUAAAAGCUUCUCUAUUUUGAUUCUGCUCCAAGGAGGUGUUCCUGUGGAAUUAUCUUGGUAUAGAGAGAAAACGUCACGCUGGCAACUACAGGCCCAACCCAAAACACCCAAUGCCCCUUCCACGGAUGACCACCUCUAACGAGUGCCGGACCUAAACAUCUAGCUGGGUUCAUCCCAACUCCGGCAUAGCCUUUGGUUGCGGUCACCGUUGUCGAGAUGAACACGAGAAGGCCCACUACCAGCCCAAUAAAAUAAUAAGGGACUCGCAUAGAAUCGUGGAAAAAUAUCUUGCAAGUAUUGGGUUCAAACCUAUUAGAGAUGAAAAAUGGGUCUACGCGCGUUGCCUGAACCCAAAUAUGUUGGUCUUGGGAUGCGCUCCCGAGCUCAAGUUCAUGGGGAUGCUGAGGUGCACACCCAGCUUGCUGGGCAUGUCAUGCCCACAAUGGGUGUGCACCCAAUUAAGCGAACGCCAUGUAUGGACUUGAGUUUCUUGCCUUAGCUCAUGUUCUCUAAGGAGUUAGACUCGGGCUACAAUAAAUACCCGAAUCUAUCUUUUUCGGAUUCUCUAUUGUAUAUUGAGAUCAAGCUUAGUACCAUGAGUAUUUUUAAGAUUUAUUUUGAGAUAAUUUUUUAGGUUUGUUUUGAAAGGAUUUUGAAGGUAUAUUUUAUUUCAACCUAUCAAAUACAAUGCAUCUUCGAGCGAGCGAAAAACCAAUUCACUCGAAGAGUUUUUUAUUUUUUAAUCAAAACUCACUUUGACGUUACCAUAUUUCCGAAUGAAGAGUCCAAAAUACGUCUUCCAUUGUUUUGAAGGAAGGUAUGUAUAUAUAUAUAUAUAUAUAUAUAUAUAUAUAUAUAUAUAUAUAUAUAUAUAUAUAUAUAUAUAUAAUGCAUCUUCGAGCGAGGGAAAAACCAAUUCACUCGAAGAGGUUUUUUAUUUUUUAAUCAAAACUCACUUUGACGUUACCAUAUUUCCUAAUGAAGAGUAUAUAAAGGGAAAGAUUCCAAAAAUGUCAUGUCAAGUGCCAAAUUCAACCAGCACGUGGGAUCAUAAUGAGAAUAUUGAAACAAAAUAUAUGAUUUAAUAUCGUAAUUAUAACAUUUAUGCUUUCUUAGAUAUAAUCCUAACAUUUUUGCUUGCUUAGAUCAUUUUCCACCAUGACAUAGUAUUCCACUGGCAAAUUGAGCAAAGGUGGUAUAAAUAUCUGUUGUGGGUUGCUUAAGAAAAAAAUUGUAAGCAUGCGGUUGUUUUAAAGUGUUUUUUUAAUAAUAAGUUUUUUUAUUAUGAACAAAAAAUUUGAUAUAUAUAUAUAUAUAUAUAUAAUAAAAUAUUUCAAGAAUUAAAUACAUUAAUAAAUAUUAAAAAAAUUGUUAACUAAAUUAGAAAGCUAAUUUUUUUUAAUUACAUGGUAACAAAUUUUUUAUAAACAAAGCAAUAGUUGAAUUCCAUUAAAAUAAAAUAAUUUGUCAAGAUAAUUCCUCAAUUUUUUUAUUAAUAUUUUUAACUUUAACUAAUUUUUUUACUGUGUGAUUUAUUUAAUAAAUAACUAACCCAUGUUAAAAAAAGGUUUGCAAUUUCAAGCUUUUAAGUGUUUAUUUUUAUGGCUCAACCGUUCUUCUUAAAAACAAAUGAUUUUUUUUUGUUUUAAAUAAUUUUUUAUUAUAUUUUUUUAUUUUAAUAUACUGAUAUUAAAAAUAAAUUUUAAAUAAUAAUAAAAAUAUUAUUUUAAUACAUUUCAAAAUAAAAAACACUUUUAAACAAACAAUCAUUGUUAAAUGCUAAUCACUACCUAAGAUCCUCGACAACCAUGCUUUUCUUUCAAUUCGAUUUCAAUUUUUCCCAUUCUAUUGUAUAGAAGCUUUAUGUAUUUAUUUUAUAAUCAUCGUAGAAGCCUUUUCCAUUAUAUAUUACCACUCUUUGAUACUUUCCUUUCCUUGUAUUUUUAAAUAAAAAAAAACCCUGUAUGCAAAAUUUUCUUUACCCUUUUGUUAUCACUUUCCUAUGAAGAACUAUAUGUGUCCCUAUUGCUCAUGAUCAAAAUCCUUCAGGCCUUCAACAAUUUUUCAAUUACAGUCUUCAACAAUUUUUCAAUUAUACACUGGGAUUUUUAUCUAAGCUGGUCUAUUUUUAAGUCUAAAAAUGACUUCAUCUACUAUUCCAGCAGACGACAAGUGAGCAUAACAAUGUUGAGGGUUGCAGAGGCUGAAAAUCAAAAGGAAAGAAAGAAACAGAGUACAAAGACGUUUUGGCUGCUAACUUUCCAAUGCAGUUUUAUUAUUCUAAUUGUCUCAUUAUCUCUCAAUGAAGAAACAGAAGGAAUACAUAUACACGUAUCAAGGCUGAUGAGUCAGCCUUUCCCAUGCAAAAGGAAAUUAUUCCCACACCAUGCAAAAGGAAUUAAGUUAACUGAGUGGUUAUGAAGGCCCGUGGGAUUAGUCGAGGUGCGCGCAAGCUGACCCGAACACCCAUGUUAAACUAAAAAAAAAAAGAAAAAAGAAUGUAUAACUGACUAUAGCUGAAAAACAGGGAAAACUAAUCAUCCUUUUUCUUUUAACAACUUUACAUCCUCCUCCUUAUUCUUUAACAUAAUCAUCUUUAACAAUAUUAAAAAAAAAAAAACAAUAAUUCGUUAUUCUACGAUUGAAAUGAGAGAUCAUUGUUGAAUCAAGCAUAAUAAUAAAUAGCAUUAAUAGGACGGACAUGGUGAUCUUAUUACAUCAAUCAUUACCGAAGAUAGUCACAAUCAAAUUUAAAAUCUAAAAAAUAACAUGAAACAAAGAUUUCUACUUAAUGCUUUUAUUCAAUGGUGUGGGCAAGUUGGCGUGGAAUGAUCUUCGUGUACACGGCGAAGGCCACGCAUGCAACAGCUGGUCCAACCCAAAACACCCAAUGCCCAUUCCAAAGAUGACCUCCUCUUACAAUCGCCGGACCCAAACACCUAGCUGGGUUCAGCCCUGCCCCUGCAUAACCUUUCGUAGUAGUGACUGUGGUGGAAACAAACACGAGAAGGCCUAAGACUAUUCCCCCGAUGAUGAAAACACCAACUCGGCCUAUGCCCUGGGCUUGGCGAUGAUCGAAGGCCAUCCACACUGAGGCAAAAAGAAACACAAACCCACAAAUUAUCUCCAGCCAAAGGGCCUGGUUUGUCUCCAAGCCUAUCACAGUCGGCCCAUGUGGCCCUGGUGCAACAAUUGUGAGGGUACAGCCUCCGAGUGAAUAUGUUUUUUCAAUUUCGCUGUUUACCACAGCUUUCAGUGCCAGGGCACCAAAAAUGGCACCAACGCACUGGGCCAAUAUGUAGAUAAAAGUUUUUGAUAGGGAAAUAAGGCCAGUUAAGAAGGCAGCGAAGGUGAUAAUAGGAUUGAUGUGGCCACCAGAAAUGGGAAAGGUAGCUAGUAGGAGAAUUGUGAUAAUGAUGGCAACAAGGGUUGACAGUAUAAGGUUGGGCAUGUUUGUCCCUGUCUGAAUCGUGGAAAUCACUAUGGUGUCCAAAGCAAAAACAAGAACAGCUGUUCCCAAUAGCUCUGCUACUGAUGCUCUC
rnacentral:lncRNA from 1 species